UGAGAUUUCUCAUCUUUUUCUUGAAUGAGCCUCUCUUUCACUCACUUCUCUUCCUCCAGCGUUCUACUAUCCAGCCUUUCAUGUGGUGACUCAGCCCAUCACCAUGGCUUUACCAUAGGAGCCAGCCAGAGAUGCCGCUCUGUUUUCCUCAUCCACGGGACUUGAAGAACUGGAGGGUGGGGAGUGAGAAGAGAACAGGGGAUGCCCUUCAUUCCUCUCUGGCCGGAGAACACCUUUUCACCCUGAUGAGAAUAGUUCCAGCUGUGCUGUCAUUUGAACAACUCGUGCAGCUUUGUAAAAUCCAACACAUGCAAAUGUAAGUAGCAAAACAGUGUUUCUCCAUCGUCCAACUAUACACCACUCAAAUGGAAUGUAGCCGUGCGUCCAGCUGGGGUAUGAGAGCCCAGCAGCAGUAGCCAUGCUGACCCUGUGUAAUGACGGUAAGUGGAUUACAAGGAGGCCCUGGCCACUGGUCAUUAAUAUUGAGUCUGCUAAAGUUACCUCCAUGUGGCAGCAGCUACACCACAGGGACUGAGCCCAGGACCUCCAAGAUACCUGAGAAGCUCAUUUCUCUGUACAGGGCCUCAGAUGAGCUGACAGCCUUCUGCAACUGGAAGCUUUAAAAAGGACCUCAGAAAG